CCUGGGAUUAGCACAGUUGGGUAGAGCAUGGUGUUAAUAACACCAAGGUUGCGGGUUCCAUCCUCUUACAGGA